rnacentral:lncRNA from 1 species
GCAAAAUUUCAGUUUUAUCAUCUCUCUCAAUCAGUUUUAUCAUCUCUCUCUCAAUCAGCCUAUAGACUGUAGUUGCAAUAUGGACACGUACGCACCUAUCUCCUUUGCGUUUCUAAAGAACUUUUUGCAAUUACAAGCAUAUUAAUCAAAUUAUUUUUGAUAACAUGCUAACCCAGAACACACGAGUCAUCGUAAACAAGAUUAUCAACGUCAUGUACAUUUCAGACCAUUGAAUGAGACGUGGGAAGGAUCAUCAUAAGGGACAAUCAAGAGGGCACGGCAACACGGCGCC